GGCAGUAUUUUUUGGCAUUGACACUUGCUUGGGAUUCUAAUGACACUCAGAGCAAAGGUGGAUUUUAUUUUGAAAAUGGAUGAGAAGAGCUCUCUGAGGAUACUAUGUCUGUGAUAUGAAGUAAGGCUGAGUUCCCCUGGAUCCUCUCCACGUAGAUCUUCCCACCGCGGACUCGCUGGGUGUAGAUGGCGUAGGGGAAGGAAGGGUCUACCGUGCUAACGAUCUGUACUUCACGCUCGGGAGCAGAGGGCAGGUAAAUGGACCACUGGAAGUUCUGCUCAGAGGGACCCUGGUAGCCACUCACGUUGCACCAGAUGGUGAUGUGGGAGCUCUCUGUGCGGUACAAGGGUCCUUCCUGGACGGUGACCUGUCGCUGCGCUGACACCACACCUAAGGGGAGACAGACACAACAACGUGCUUUUCUGACUGAAUGCCAAACAGACAGCAGUCCCCAGAGGGUUUGUUAUUUGUGUGACAUGAUGGCAAUAUAAAUAGGUUACUGGCCCUUUCCAAGGCACUUUGUGAUUUAUAAAUAUUAAUUAAAACAGCGUGGUAAAGCUCUG
rnacentral:lncRNA from 1 species